rnacentral:rRNA from 1 species
UUGAACGCUGGCGGCAGGCCUAACACAUGCAAGUCGAACGGUAACAGGAAACAGCUUGCUGUUUCGCUGACGAGUGGCGGACGGGUGAGUAAUGUCUGGGAAACUGCCUGAUGGAGGGGGAUAACUACUGGAAACGGUAGCUAAUACCGCAUAACGUCGCAGGACCAAAGAGGGGGACCCUCGGGCCUCUUGCCAUCGGAUGUGCCCAGAUGGGAUUAGCUUGUUGGUGGGGUAACGGCUCACCAAGGCGACGAUCCCUAGCUGGUCUGAGAGGAUGACCAGCCACACUGGAACUGAGACACGGUCCAGACUCCUACGGGAGGCAGCAGUGGGGAAUAUUGCACAAUGGGCGCAAGCCUGAUGCAGCCAUGCCGCGUGUAUGAAGAAGGCCUUCGGGUUGUAAAGUACUUUCAGCGGGGAGGAAGGGAGUAAAGUUAAUACCUUUGCUCAUUGACGUUACCCGCAGAAGAAGCACCGGCUAACUCCGUG